AUGGCCGAGGAAGAGGCGUGCAUGUUCGCGCUGCAGCUGGCCACGUCGGCGAUCCUGCCCAUGACGCUCCGGACUUGCAUCGAGCUGGGCCUGCUGGAGACCCUUGCGGGCGCCGGCGGGAAACCGCUCACUCCGGAGGAGGUGGCCGCGAAGCUCCCGUCCAAUUCCAACCCGGAGGCGGCGGCCAUGGUGGAUCGUUUGCUCCGGGUGCUGGCCGCAUACAAGGUUGUGUCCUGCGUGGUGGAGGAGUGCGAGGACGGCGGCCUCUCCCGCCGGUACGGCGCCGAGCCGGUGUGCAAGUGGCUCACCGCCAACGAGGACGGCGUGUCCAUGGCUCCGUUCUGCCUCCUGGCCCAGGACAGGCUCUUCAUGGAGGCCUGGUGCCACAUGAAGGAGGCGGUCCUAGAGGGUGGCAGCGCCUUCACCAAGGCGUUCGGGUCGUCGUGGUUCGAGCAUGCCGCCACGGAUGCUCGCUUCAACCGCGUCUUCAACGAGGCCAUGAAGCAGCAUUCCGUCAUCAUCACCAAGAAGCUCCUUGAGCUGUACCCGGGUUUCGAGGGCAUCGGCACCCUCGUGGACGUCGCCGGCGGCCUCGGCGCCGUCCUCCACUCCAUCACCACCAAGUACCCGAGCAUCAAGGGGGUCAACUUCGAUCUGCCCCAUGUAAUCUCGGAGGCACAGCCUUACCCUGGCGUGGAGCAUGUCGGCGGCGACAUGUUCCAGAUGGUGCCCUCCGGCGACGCCAUCCUCAUGAAGUGGAUCCUCAACUGCUUUAGCGACCAGGAAUGUGCCAAGCUGCUCAAGAACUGCUACGACGCAUUGCCCGCCCAUGGCAAGGUGAUCAACGUGGAGUGCAUCCUGCCGGCGAAGCCGGCCGCGACCAACAGCGCGCAGGGGUUAAUCAGCACCGACGUGUGUCUGCUGGCCUACAGCCCGGGUGGCAAGGAAAGGUACCUGAGGGACUUAGAGAAGCUCGCCAAGGGUGCUGGAUUCACCGGCGUCAAGGCCACAUACAUCUAUGCUGACUUUUGGGCUAUGGAGUAUACCAAGUACUAG
rnacentral:rRNA from 1 species